rnacentral:rRNA from 1 species
AGAAUCAACGCUGGCGGCGUGCCUAACACAUGCAAGUCGAACGAGAAAGUGGAGCAAUCCAUGAGUAAAGUGGCGCACGGGUGAGUAACACGUGACUAACCUACCCUUGAGUGGGGAAUAACUGAGGGAAACCUUAGCUAAUACCGCAUAACACCUACGGGUCAAAGGAGCAAUUCGCUUAAGGAGGGGGUCGCGGCAGAUUAGCUAGUUGGCGGGGUAAUGGCCCACAAGGCAGUGAUCUGUA